UAUUCAUGGAACUAUCGGAAACCGGUGUCGCACUUUCUGUUUUUACAGUUUUUGACGUCCGUUUGUUUUUAUUGUUAACUUCCCUUAUUUGGGCUCGUUUGUUCCCGUUUUUCGUUGUAAAUUACACUUUGAACAUUCAUCUUGACGAUGCAGUGACAGAAAAGACGACAAUAAACACAGACAAUUUUUUAAGGUGAGUUUUAUUGUUAAAUUAUCGGAAACUGGUAACGCUAGGAUAGUGUUUUUCUUUCACUGUCUAAGCCAUGCAUUACAUUUAAAUUUAAAGGUGGUAAAUCACAUUUGAGUAUCAUUUCAACAUGACCAAACUUUAUUAUCUGAUAUUGUAGAUAUCCAAGGUGCCUGAACCACGUGACUUUUUCGGCUAUGUGUGGGACAAUCGGAUGUAAACAAAACGUCGCUUCAGUGUGGCAGAGAGGUCAAAACACGGUCGGGGAUCUCCUAACACAAAGCCACCCACGCACGGACAGGAAAAAAGGAGAUUAAAGUAUUUUUGGAAGCACCUUCAAGAGACGUACUGAUAUCUUUAUCAAUGAAAAGUUGUCAUACAAACAUGUAUAGUAAAUGUUCCAAAGUUUAAAUGACUCUUUGAUUUAUUACCAGAUGGUGCAAGUAUUGCAGGGAAAGAAAACAAUCAAAAUAAACAUUACAUAAAAAUUUGACAUUUCAACAAAUUGAACAACAUUAUAUGAUUUAAUGUUAAUUACUUGGUGCAGUGGUAACAAGAUCUUGCAGCGCCCUUUCAUGACCGGGGCGAAUGAGUAUUUUCAUUAAACAUCUCAAACUAUUGUCAGUUAUUCAACUUUCAUUUGAAUUUGAGUAAAUUAAGUAUUGAUGCAAUUCAAUAUGUUUGUUGGUAUAAUGACCCCCACAAGUCAAGACGUUUUGGCGAUGAUCAUUUGUUAUGACUUAAUUGAAGCAUUCAUAUGUUUGAAUAGCAAGAUUUGCAAAUUCAUAAAUUGACUGAUUACAAUUUCUUUGUGAAUACUAAUGUACUUCUUUAUGUAUUUGGCGCUUUAAUUUCUAUUGUUACAUGUGCAUGCUAGUUAUAAAGUAAUGGUAUUAUUAA